AGCGAACGCUGGCGGCAGGCCUAACACAUGCAAGUCGAACGAAGUCUUCGGACUUAGUGGCGGACGGGUGAGUAACACGUGGGAACGUGCCUUUAGGUUCGGCAUAACUCAGGGAAACUUGUGCUAAUACCGAAUGUGCCCUUCGGGGGAAAGAUUUAUCGCCUUUAGAGCGGCCCUCGUCUGAUUAGCUAGUUGGGGAGGUAAAGGCUCACCAAGGCUACGAUCAGUAGCUGGUCGGAAAGGAUGAUCAGCCACAUUGGGACUGAGACACGGCCCAAACUCCUACGGGAGGCAGCAGUGGGGGAUCUUGCGCAAUGGGCGAAAGCCUGACGCAGCCAUGCCGCGUGAAUGAUGAAGGUCUUAGGAUUGUAAAAUUCUUUCACCGGGGACGAUAAUGACGGUACCCGGAGAAGAAGCCCCGGCUAACUUCGUGCCAGCCGCCGCGGUAAUAC
rnacentral:rRNA from 1 species